CAUGCGUCAAAGAUCCAUCACAUUCAAGAGAGAUACAAUCCCUCUCGACUGUGAUGGAUCUUUGACGCAUG